UACAGAGGUCUCAAGCGUUGUUCGGAUUCAUUGGGCGUAAAGGGUGCGUAGGUGGCGCUGUAAGUCGGGUGUGAAAUUUCGGAGCUUAACUCCGAAAUUGCAUUCGAUACUGCCGUGCUCGAGGACUGGAGAGGAGACUGGAAUUCAUGGUGUAGCAGUGAAAUGCGUAGAGAUCAUGAGGAAGACCAGUGGCGAAGGCGGGUCUCUGGACAGUUCCUGACACUGAGGCACGAAGGCCAGGGGAGCAAACGGG
rnacentral:rRNA from 1 species